rnacentral:rRNA from 1 species
GAAUCCCGUCUUUGACACGGACUACCAAGGCUUUGUGAUGCGCUCUCAAAGAGUCGAGUUGUUUGGGAAUGCAGCUCAAAAUGGGUGGUAAAUUCCAUCUAAAGCUAAAUAUUGGCGAGAGACCGAUAGCGAACAAGUACCGUGAGGGAAAGAUGAAAAGAACUUUGGAAAGAGAGUUAAACAGUACGUGAAAUUGCUGAAAGGGAAACGCUUGAAGUCAGUCGCGUCGGCUAGAAAUCAACCUUGCUUUUGCUUGGUGUACUUUCUUGUUGAUGGGUCAGCAUCAAUUUUGACCGUUGGAUAAAGUCGUUGGGAAUGUGGCAUCUUAGGAUGUGUUAUAGCCCAUCGUCGCAUACAGCGGUUGGGAUUGAGGAACUCAGCACGCCCUUCUGGGGACGGGUUUCGACCACGUUUCGUGCUUAGGAUGCUGGCAUAAUGGCUUUAAUCGACCCGUCUUGAAACACGGACCAAGGAGUCUAACAUGCCUGCGAGUGUUUGGGUGGAAAACCCAUGCGCGCAAUGAAAGUGAAAGUUGAGAUCCCCUCAAGGGGAGCAUCGACGCCCGGACCAGAGCUUCUGUGACGGAUCCGCGGUAGAGCAUGUAUGUUGGGACCCGAAAGAUGGUGAACUAUGCCUGAAUAGGGUGAAGCCAGAGGAAACUCUGGUGGAGGCUCGUAGCGAUUCUGACGUGCAAAUCGAUCGUCAAAUUUGGGUAUAGGGGCGAAAGACUAAUCGAACCAUCUAGUAGCUGGUUCCUGCC